GGGAAGGUAAAAAGUUGAAAGGGUGUAACGUUCGUCUCCAACGGCUCCUUAACGUUCACCUAGUCUGAAGGGCGUUACGCCCGUUACAGCUGCAUGACAGGCGUCACAGGUACUUAGCGUGACGUCCGUGACAGACCUUGUGACGCUCGUCACGCUGUCUGUUUGGCAAUGGCUACAGCUAGCGUCCUUCAGAGUGACUUGGUAAUGUAUU
rnacentral:lncRNA from 1 species